UCUGGCUCAGAGCGAACGCUGGCGGCAGGCCUAACACAUGCAAGUCGAGCGCCCCGCAAGGGGAGCGGCAGACGGGAGAGUAACACGUGGGAACGUACCUUUCAGUUCGGAACAACCAAGGGAAACUUUGGCUAAUACCGAAUACGCCCUUACGGGGAAAGAUUUAUCGCUGAAAGAUCGGCCCGCGUCUGAUUAGCUUGUUGGUGAGGUAAUGGCUCACCAAGGCUACGAUCAGUAGCUGGUCUGAGAGGAUGAUCAGCCUCAUUGGGACUGAGACACGGCCCAAACUCCUACGGGAGGCAGCAGUGGGGAAUAUUGGACAAUGGGCGCAAGCCCUGAUCCAGCCAUGCCGCGUGGAUGAUGAAGGCCUUAGGGUUGUAAAGUCCUUUUAACGGGGAAGAUAAUGACGGUACCCGUAGAAUAAGCCCCGGCUAACUUACGUGCCAGCAGCCGC
rnacentral:rRNA from 1 species